GUACUGAGACACGGACCAGACUCCUACGGGAGGCAGCAGUGAGGAAUAUUGGUCAAUGGGCGCAAGCCUGAACCAGCCAUGCCGCGUGCAGGAAGACGGUCCUAUGGAUUGUAAACUGCUUUUAUAUAGGAAGAAACCCUCCCACGUGUGGGAGAUUGACGGUACUGUAGGAAUAAGGAUCGGCUAACUCCGUGCCAGCAGCCGCGGUAAUAUGGAGGAUCCAAGCGUUAUCCGGAAUCAUUGGGUUUAAAGGGUCCGUAGGCGGUCUUAUAAGUCAGUGGUGAAAUCCCAUCGCUCAACGAUGGAACUGCCAUUGAUACUGUAAGACUUGAAUACUUAGGAAGUAACUAGAAUAUGUAGUGUAGCGGUGAAAUGCUUAGAUAUUACAUGGAAUACCAAUUGCGAAGGCAGGUUACUACUAAGUGAUUGACGCUGAUGGACGAAAGCGUGGGGAGCGAACAGGAUUAGAUACCCUGGUAGUCCACGCCGUAAACGAUGGAUACUAGCUGUUCGGAGCAAUCUGAGUGGCUAAGCGAAAGUGAUAAGUAUCCCACCUGGGGAGUACGCACGCAAGUGUGAAACUCAAAGGAAUUGACGG
rnacentral:rRNA from 1 species